UACGUAGGGGGCUAGCGUUGUCCGGAAUCAUUGGGCGUAAAGCGCGUGUAGGCGGCCAGGUAGGUCCGAUGUGAAAUCUGGAGGCUCAACCUCCAGCGGUCAUUGGAAACCAUCUGGCUAGAGUCCGGAAGAGGAGAGUGGAAUUCCUGGUGUAGCGGUGAAAUGCGCAGAUAUCAGGAAGAACACCCGUGGCGAAGGCGGCUCUCUGGGACGGUACUGACGCUGAGACGCGAAAGCGUGGGGAGCGAACAGG
rnacentral:rRNA from 1 species